UGUCUGUCUCUCAGCCGUCACAUGCUCCUCGGCUGGAGCCAGCGGUUCAGAGACAAACUCAGCCUGCCUCCUUCUCCUGAGGCCAGGCACACACACGCGCGCGCGAGAACCCAGCGACAGCAGCUCCUGGGCCUCACAGCACUUCACAGUUUGCAUUUCUCCAGCCCACGCACGUGUCUAAUUAUAUCCCUGCCUGUUCCCGAGGGAGUUUAGUCGCCGGCCCUCCGUUUGUUCUUCACAGUGACAUUGCGGGUUAGCCAGGCACAGACUUAGCUGGGGCAGCUGAGGAAUCCAAUGUCCGGAGGGGCGUUGUCAAGGUCAUGGGGCUUGUGUGUGCGUGGAUGUAUUCUGUGUGCACAGAUGUAUGCAUAUGCAUGGGUGUGUGCGCAGGGAUGGGUCCACAUAUGUGUGCCACGUGGUUGUAUGCAUAUACACACAUGUACAUUUAUGAGCAUGUAUGCCUAUGUGUGUGUCUUGUGUGUGCAUGUGCUUUUGCCUGCACAUGUGUAAUCAUGUGCAUCUGUGCAUGUAUGUGCACCUGUGAAGAUGUCUUUGCAUAAACCCAUGAAUAUGUGUGCAUGCUCAUAUAGGAUGUAUAAAACUGGGUGCAUGCAUGUAUGAGCAUGCAUUUGUACAUGUCCACAGUGUAUGUAAGUGUGUGAACACACAUAUAUGUGCAUGCACUCAUGUGUACACAUGUGUGUCUAUGUGUGUAUUCCUUUGUGAGUACGUAUGUAUGCAUUUCUCAAUGUGUGUGCAUUGAAGUAUGAAGUGUAUGCCUGUGUGGACAUGAAUCCCUAUGCAAGCAUGUGCAUAUGCAUGUUUGCAUAUUUGUGUGUGCCUGCGUGUGAGCUUGUCAUGAGCAUUUGUAUGUUUUCAUUGGGCACAUGUAUAUUUGUGUCAGUGAAUGAGCAUUUGUGUAGGUGAACGUGUGCGCUUAUAUGUACAUGUUCGUGGAUGCCUUAUGUAUGUGGAUUGUACAUACAUAUACAUGUAUAUUGGACACCUGUGUAUCUGUAUGUAUGUGGGCAUAUUUGAAUGUGUAUGUGCCUAUGUAUGCACAUUCAUAUGUAUUCAUUGUUCACAUGCAUAUGUGUUCAUGCAUGCAUGCUUGCUCAUAUGCACCUGUAUGCUUUUGGAUGAUGGUGCAUGUGUGGUCACACAUGGGGGCAUAUGUGUGUAAACACAUCCAUGUGUGCACAUAUGUGUCCGUAAAUGGCUAUGUGCAUGCAUUUAUCUGCAUCUGUAUGCAUGCAUGUAUGUGUCUCCUCACAUGACUUUAUGUGUGCCUGCACACAUGUGCUUGUGUGUAUCCAUGUGUGCACAUGUGCUUGUAUGUGCUUGCGUGCACGUGUAUGCAUGCAUUUGUGUGCAUAUGCUUGUGUCAGGGCUAAGUGGUGAGGGCCAAGUGACUACUGGCUGUGUGCCUCACCCGACAGCCUGUCUUGAGGACCUGGGGUCUGGAAGGGCUGGAUAGGGGUUGUGGCAUGGAAGAGAAGGGGCUGCCCAGCUGCCAGCAGGUGACAGGCUGACUUGAAGCCAGAGCUGCAACAAAGGAGGGGAACAAGGGGGACAACGAGGCUUGGCAACCGCUCUCCCAGCUGCUCUGGGCUUGAAGCAGGGCCACUUUGCUGGCUCCGGCACAGCACGAACAGGUGGCAGCAAGAUUGGCACAGCCAGGGAAAGCUGUCUUGUGGAGGCCAGGACACAGCAGAACAGUGGAGAGGGGAGGCAGCACCGAGGGGGUGCAAGGAGGAACCCCCACAUUGAUACCUGCCGCCUACCUCUGUCCCUCCAAGCCAAGGUACUCAAGAACCUUCAGAGACGGUGAGCUGCCCUGGUCCCCUCAGCAGUAGGAGCCCACAGGACGACUGCCUCUCCUCUUUUCCCUGAUGUCUACAGCUUUCAGCUCCCUAGCACCGUGGGGCUUCUGGACACUGAGAAAAUUAGGCACUGAGGGCUCCCUGGAGGGUUCUGAGCCCAGCAUCAGUAGCCAUGGGGACUGAGUGCCCCCAACUCAUGCUAAGGGGACAGAUGACUCAGCCUGUAUUACAGUUAUGUGAACGCCAUCAGAGCCCCCUGAGUUCUGUUCUGGUGAGAUGGGGGGUGGGGCAUCCAGAGACCAGGCAGGGGUGGCUGCUGCUGGCCAAGGGCUGUGCUGGAGGUAGGGAAAACACAUGGCGAGAAGCAGCUAGAUCUGGAGGCUUCUAAGGGAUGACCCUCAAAUACCUGCUCUGGCGGUGGCUUCACGGGGAGAAGAGGGGUGAGGACAAUUAAAGUGGGGUUCAGAUUUGAGCUAAGGGGUGCGUGUCCCCUGGACUAUGGAGGAUUGGUGUUCUUCUGAAGGAAGGGCGGGACGCCAGACCUCCCCUCUCUUCUCCACAGCACACUCUUUAAGGGCUUCUCACCCUGCCUCCUCCUAGGCCAGCAGAGCUGGGGCAGCACAUCAGCUCCCCGGCGCCCUGGAGACCCGGGGCAUACACUUACCCUGUGCACACUCCCUGACUGCUCUCCCGGGCAUCCUGAGGAAGUUGUGUCCCUUCUUUAAGAUGGACGGCACUUUACAACCUCCAUAUGCUCGGCUUUCUUUUUAUUAUUUUAAUUUCUAAAUACUUGGGAAGCUUUCCAGCCCUGGCUUCUGCUGUGAUUCUGGUGCCAGCAAACACACUUGCUCCCCCACCCCACCCCUGCCUCAUCUUAGCCAUAAGGACUUCUCCCAACGCAGGGCUGAGGGAGGCUGGGAUUCAGGGAGAGAGAUCCAGCCAGCAGUUCCUGCUCCUAAGUCUGAGCACAGUCCUCGGGAGGCCUGCGGCAGCAGAGGGCUAGCCUGACCUGCCGUGGGGCCCAGGCACCAGACAGGAACUGCAGGCUUCCUCACCCAGCCCAGUCCACAAUGACCUGUUACACUGCCUUUCUCUGCUUAUAGCUGCACUUUGGAGUGCUUUCCCUGCCCCUAACCUCUGUGGCAUUCAGUCUCUCCCAUCCCGGUGUCAUCUCUUCUGUGGAGUCGUCUCUGGAUCCCUGAGUGUCUUCUGUCACUGGCAGAGUCUCACAGUUGCUCUGCCGACAUAUCCAGACUACGGCAUCUCUGCUUGCACAGUGCCGAGCAAUGGAAAUAGUGCCUGGCACAUAGCUGGCCAUGGUCUCCUUGCUUUAGGCUCAGUGCUGGCCACUUUGCUGACCAUUCCUGCUUCCUGCUUCUCCAAACUGCUAACCACCACGGGCGCACGAGCAACCCCUGAGUUGCUCCAGCUUCCCCCAGCUUCUGGACUCUGCUAUAGUUUCAGCUCUAUCAGGACAGGGGUUUGCGUGCCUGGUUUUGCUAACUCAGGACUCAGCCCAGUGGCUGGCAACAGCGUCAUGUCCCUGCAAUGAGCAUUUCUUAAACUCGCAUCCUUAAAGUCAUGUCAUCACAGUCACGGUCCUUAUCCACACCCCACUUGUGUUGCUUAAGUAUUUCUCUUCCCAUCAGCCACCUUUAAAACACUUAAAGAAAUAAAAUGUAAAAAGAAGCUUUUUUAUCACUGCCGUAAGUGGAAAGCCAAUAUCACGAGCCAUAAAUAGAAGACAACUGUUAAAACAAAUGCCACAAAACAAAGCGACGCGAAGAAAUCCGAGGAAACGCCGGGCGCUGCAGAACGUGCCUGGGCUGGGCUGAGGCCGAUCUCUUUUUGCCAACUGGGCAAGUGUUACAAGGCUUGAAAGAAAUGUUAGCCCAGACCAAGAGUCCUCAGGCAGCCGAAAGCAUCCGAAUCCAGUAGACAUGGCCUUGCCAAAGGCCACACGAUUGCAUUCUGGGUACCUCCUAAACUGGUCCCGACAUCCAUGGCCCUCAUCCUGCACAUCAGGGGACAUAGAUCCUGGAAAACUCAGGAGAACUCCAAGAGACACAUGUGAGAGCUCUAUGGAACUCGUGAGUCUUGAAUGGACAUGGGGCUGACUGAACUACAAAGAGCCACCGCUCCCCUGGUCCAGAGAAAUAACCGCCGAGCCCAUCUGCCCCUCAGCUCCGGUGCUCCUCCCGACGUUUGCCUGGCAGCAGAUCAGACCUUCUGUCUCCCACGGCCUUCAGAAGAACUCUGUCCUCCUGAUUCCUGACUCCCCCUUUUGAUCUCAUGCCACAUUUGUGGGAUCCUGGGUGUCCAUUGCUAGGCAACAGAAUCACACACUCAAGUCUCAAAGGGAUCUAGGGCCGAGAGGAAGUGUGCUAAGAGGGGCCACUGCCCACUCAAGGCUGAGCGGAGUCUGCUGCUGGAAUCCAGAGGAGAACUUGGGUCCCCGCCUUCUCCAACAGAGUACGGGGGCCACGCCCCACGCCCCCUCCUGUGCAGGAUGCUUAGCCUGUGCACUUCAGUCUUCUUCAGGACCCUUCUGCAGUUGAAAGAACUGAGGUUCUGACGCCCGGUUCACCAGAUGCUCAGUGAACUUAUGCCCAGCCCCGACUCUACCAGGCGCACCACAGAUCUGAUAUAACCCAGUCACUCUCCACUGAUGCCUUGAGUUCAGGCAGCACUUUCUCAACAGCUGCCAGUGUGUAGUCUCUACAGGAGACUGUGGCCUCUGAGGGGGACUCCAUUUUGCUGUGCCUGCGAGGUAGGUGUCCACCUCAAGACUGGUGGCUCCUAGCUGGCUCCCUUCCCCUGUCUUGCCACUUUGAGCCAAGACAAAGUCCGUGUCUGCUCAUCAAGACAGCAUGGACCUGCCUGAGCAUCAUUUAAUUACAUUAUUUCCUUGCAAGCCUGUCCAGGAAGUGCCGGGGGCCUGGUAGGGAACAGCCUGGACCUGGCAGGGUUCACAAGGUAACUGACCAUGGGAGGCCCCAGCCACCCUUGGGGCCCAGUGCGGGGCAUGUAGGGGACUUCCUGUUGCUGUGCGUGAGGCUGCUGUCACUGCCCGCUGCUCCAAAUGGCUCCACAGUCAUAAAGCAGCUGAGGAAAAAUGACAGCAGGGAAGGGAAACGAGCCACAAAGGAAAUUAGCUCUCACUCGGGGAGACCUCGGCUUUCUGCUGACAGAGGACUCUACCCUAUGAAGCCAAGAGCUUAAACUCCACUCUUACAGUAAUUACCAUGCCGGAGGCACCUCUGCCCUUGGCCCAGACCCAGAUGGCCCCUUCCAGGGCACUGAGAGAGACCCACAGCCUAGAGCUGGAGUCCAGGGAACAAGGAAUGGGAGGGAGGUUUGGUGCCAGAGCCAGGGUCCCCUUCAUAGAGAAGACUAUCUAACGGAUGCUAGAGCUCAGUGUGGACUUGGGGACCAGGUGCUCCAACCUUCUCAUUUGACAGGUGAGGAGCCUGGAGACUCAGAGAGGGUUAGUGACUAAGUGAGGGCCACCCAGCCAAAGACCAGAUCAGAUUGAAAGUAGCCCCUACUCCUGUGAGCCAGAGCCGUUUCUGUCAAGUCCUGCACCCGCCCGAUAUGCGUAUUUCCCGUAGACCUGGUCCAUGCUAGGCCCAGUGAAAACACAAAAGGCAGCGUGCCGGCCUCAGUUAGAGCAUGCACCCAGGACCCGCCAUUGUGUGGUUUCCCUUUACCUGGUGAUGCCAUCCCCACAGCAAAGCUCUGUGCAGUGUGGCUCUCCCGCAGCAGCCAUUCUUAGGGAGCCAGUCUGGGAGAUUUUGGAGAUGCCCCUACAGAAGGAUAACGAGCUCUGCACAUCUGUCAGGGGUAGGCACCCCUUCUGGGGGGAUUGGGUCUCUGCCAUCCUACCCUGAAUCCAGACUCCCAGCUAGCCCAAGGCAAGCCAGGCCUCCACCCUCCUCCCCGAACUGCAGUGAGAUAUCCACCUCGCCUGAACGGAUAGCACCGACCACGCCCAUUUGGGCGUGGCAACAGGUGCAGACAUGAAGGAAAGUGGGUUUAGGUCUGGGGUCUGGGCAGGUGACUCUCUCUCUCUUGCUUCAGGUCAGGUCACAGGGAGCAGCCUGUGAGGAUCCUUAGAGCGGGACCCUGCGGCGGCCGUCUGCUUCUUGUGUCACAGUUCAUCACUGCGGGAAAUUGGGGUGGAAACUCAAGAGAGGAACCUGGAGGCUGGAUCCAUGAAGGAUGCUGUUUGUUGACUCUCACUGGCUCAUACUCAGCUACCUUUCUUACACAGCCAAGACCCACUUGCCUAGGGGAUGGUGCUACCCAUAGUGGGCUGGACCCUCCUGCAUUAAGAAAAUGCCCCAGAGACCAGGCUAGUUGAAACAAUUCUUCAACUGAGAUUUCCUCUCCCCAGGUGACUUUGGGCUGUGCCAUGUUGGCAAUAAAAACUAACAAGGACAGCAAACCUCUUCCAAAAACAAUGAAACCACAGUCCAAAUAUCUUGGGGGCUCUCUGCUGCCUGCUUUCUUCUCCAGCUCCAACCACUCUUGCUGGUUGAUGCUUCCUGGGGUCAUCUGAAGCCUGUCCUCAUGUGUACUGUCCUAAGAUCCUUGGGGCCGUGUGGGGGCACGUUCAUAACUUGUAGCUGUGCAGCCCCUUUGCUCCCCAAAUCUACCUGGAGGCUAAGCUCAUUGUCACCCCUUCUAGGGGUGAGCAAAGAAGUUGUCAAGAGGCCAGGGAACUCACUCAAGGCCAUUGUGGAGUGGAAACGUCCCCACAUCCUAUAGAGGUCAGAUGGCAGCAUCGGGAACAUCUUAAAACGACCCCACCCUGUGACAGACAGGAAGGCGUGGAGCUAAGAUCUUGAGGGAGCCACUGAAAGGCCUUCGCAUAGAGGAGUCGCAGGCGUGUGGAGACACCAUGAAGACACCACACAGGAUGCCACUGCCAUCCUGCUUGGGAAGGGAAGGAGAAGGAGCAGUGUGACAGAGCUGGAAGAACAGAGCAGUGACAGCCACUUGGCAGGUGCUGGUGUGAGAACCGCCACCCAGACAAGGAGAAUCGGGGAGGAGAUUCCCGGCCCGCCCCACCCCUCCCAAGGAUGGCAGCCUCAGGCUCAUUCUAAACAUAAGCCAGGGACCAGGGAGCCUGGGUGUUCAGAGAGGUCGGGCUCCUCACCUGGGGCUCAGAGCAAGAAAGAAAAGAAGCCAGGGAGCGGGCAGCAAGAAUGACGCUGGAUUCGCUUCUGGUUGUUGCUGUAGCUUAAGGAUUACAACACCCACUUAACGUAGUACUCCAUAGUUAGCUGUGGCUUCAGAUACUCACAGGAGCUGCGAGCCAGAUACUUACGGGAAGUUCCAGGCCCAGCGCGUUUGCAAGCUUCAAAUGGCGUGCUGCUCUGAGCAGUGGUGAAGGCCUGCACCGUCUCUUUCGCCUCGGCCAGCGAGUCCACAGUGUGUGUGUGUGUGUGUGUGUGUGUGUGUGUGUGUGCGCGCGCGCGCGCGCGUGCGCGCGCACUGCCUGCCUGGUGGGCACCCAGCACUUACCUAGGUUAUUCCUGCCACUGUCACCAGUCAUUGUACCUGUGUUCAAGUAACUGUAUUUUCAGUCACAACAACUUUAAAAUAUCAGAAGAGCAAUGUCACCCGGGCAUAAAGUCUGGAGGACCAGGAUGAGCAGGGCACUGCGCUGAGAGGCUUCACAGAAAGUAGGAAAGCAUUAAAUAUAGGGCUUGGUCUACUAUCUGCAGUUUCAGGCAUCUGGGGCAGAAAGGUCUUGGGUAGGAAGACUGUGCCACCUGUUUGGAAGCCAUUAGUAUGAACCAAGUGUCCCCCACUAAGGGCAAGGUACAGGUAGGGCUGUGUCAGUUGAAUCCUGUGGGUCUCAGAUGGACCACUGCAAUACCUCAUCUUACUGUGGAUUGUCUGCGUGGCCUGACCUCAUCGGGCCCUCAUCUUCCCCAGACACUGGGCCAGGAGGGCGGACCCAUCCCGGAGAAGGCCAAGUGGGCAAGAAAACACGCAGUCCCUCAUGAGGUCGGCCUCAGAGUUAUCACUUCCAGGUGUCUACCGCUGGCCAAAGCAGCUCCUGUGGGCCAGGCGGAAGCCAAGGGCUGUGUCAGGCCAGAGCCAGGGUGACGGCAGGCAGAGCGAAGUGGGGUGUGAUCCCGGGUAGCAGAGCGAAGUGGGGUGUGAUCCCGGGUCCAGGGGCCACAGCUUCAUCACACCCGCUUUCCCUCCUGUCCUAGACUUGUUCUUUCCUGAGUUCUAGCGAUGCGUGAGAGAGUGAGCUCCCAGGAGGAAGGAUGGACUAGUGUGUUUUGCAGCAGCAGGGACAGCUCCAUGCUCGGCUCUUGCCCUGGGCAUUGCAGCUGGCGGAGCACCACUCUCUGCACGGUGUGUGGGUGAACAGCCUUCAGCGCCAGCAGGAGAGUGUGUAAGGGGCUGGACUCCCUUCUGGGGGCCCAGGGAAGGCUGUGGGGUGCCCCGGCACCAGGCAGGUACCAGGCCACGCCCCUCUUCCACACACUCCCUCUUUCAGCCGACCCUUCCGUCCUGGCCCGGCCCACAGGUGGCUUUUGCAGAGCUCAGGCUGAGCUGAGACUUGCCUGCUGUCUUGAUGCUUACAGUCUCCCAGAGGUGCAGCCUAGCCGCAAGGGCGGAGUGGGGACUUCGUAGGUCUAUAGUGGAUGCUAUUCCACGGUGGAGACAGCUCGGAAGCUGGGGCCUGACGACCAAGAUGGGCAAACAGGUGGGCAUAGCCUCCGGGAGUCGGCCAGGAUGCUGGGGGACACUCUUGUCCCUGUGUGCGCCAACCGUCCUGGAGACUAAGGUGGUUUAGUCUUCUGGAGAAGAGUGAGCACUGGGAAUGGAUACACAGGUAACAAGAUGGGGCAGUGGAUGGGGGCACAGAUGGCUGAUGGGGAGGAUCCUUGUGACCAAGGCCUCUCUUCCUGGCCACGGAGGAAUUAGAUUUAUCCGUGAGCUAGGAUUAGCAAUUUUUUUUCCUACAAAGGACAAGGCAGUGAAAUUCUCAGGCUUUGCAUAUGUCAUCUUCUCAGUGCUGCCCUUAUGGGUGAAAAUCCUCCGCUCAGUGCAUCAGUAAGUGAGCAUGGCUAUGUCCCAAUAAAACUUUAUUAUAAUUGGGGCCCCCCA